CGCCCCCUGCAGCCCAAAGCUUUGAGACUGGGUCUGGACAGUGGGAGGCGGGAUCUUCGGGAGCGCGGGGAACGCUGGGAGCCGGGCGUUGACUGUUCGCGCGUGGGAAAGCAGCCGGCUCGGAAGAAAUCCCCCUCCUCCAGGUUCAUAAUGUAUUGUACAAAUUGAAUACCAGAUGAUGAAUUGACAUUAGCUUCUCUGGGCUUGGAAACUUAACAGAUGAGGGCUAAAAAGAAGAUGUCCUGUGAUCCAUAUUCAACCCUGUUGAAUGGAGAAACAAGAUGGAAGGACCCUGUAUGACUGCAUGGAGCAGCCUGGAACUCAGACACUAAAUUAAGAAAUGAAUUUCUGGGGAAUGAAUUUCUGAGCCUGGGUGACUCAGUCGGUUAAACAUCUGACCCUUGCUUUUGGCUCAGGUCAUGAUCUCA